GCCGGAGUGGCGGAACUGGCAGACGCGCACGGUUCAGGGCCGUGUAUCGUAAGAUGUGAGGGUUCGACUCCCUCCUCCGGCACAA
rnacentral:tRNA from 1 species